rnacentral:miRNA from 1 species
GGGCAGCUGACACAUCCCGGCCAAUCUCCAGCAGACCCUCCCUCCCAGACCCUUCUACUUCCUGGACAGCAUCCAUGUUGAAGGCAGCUUCAACAUGGAUGCUGUCCAGGAGGUGGGAGGGUCUGGGAGGGAGGGUCUGCUGGAGAUUGGCCGGGAUGUGUCAGCUGA